UACGAAGGGGGCUAGCGUUGCUCGGAAUCACUGGGCGUAAAGGGCGCGUAGGCGGCUCUUUAAGUCGGGGGUGAAAGCCUGAGGCUCAACUCCAGAACUGCCUUUGAUACUGGCGAUCUUGAGUCCGGGAGAGGUGAGUGGAACUGCGAGUGUAGAGGUGAAAUUCGUAGAUAUUCGCAAGAACACCAGUGGCGAAGGCGGCUCACUGGCCCGGUACUGACGCUGAGGUGCGAAAGCGUGGGGAGCAAACAGG
rnacentral:rRNA from 1 species